AGCUCAAACGGUAGAGUGUUUGCCUAGCAUGCAAAGUUCUGGGUUCAAUCCCCAG
rnacentral:tRNA from 1 species